rnacentral:rRNA from 1 species
CCUACGGGUGGCAGCAGUGAGGAAUAUUGGUCAAUGGGCGGAAGCCUGAACCAGCCAAGUCGCGUGAGGGAAUAAGGCCCUACGGGUCGUAAACCUCUUUUGCCGGGGAGCAAGGGCGGGGACGUGUCCCCGCCCGGAGAGUACCCGGAGAAAAAGCAUCGGCUAACUCCGUGCCAGCAGCCGCGGUAAUACGGAGGAUGCGAGGGUUAUCCGGAUUUAUUGGGUUUAAAGGGUGCGUAGGCGGGCUUUUAAGUCAGCGGUAAAAAGUCGGGGCUCAACCCCGGCCGGCCGUUGAAACUGGGGGCCUUGAGUGGGCGGGAAGAAGGCGGAAUGCGUGGUGUAGCGGUGAAAUG